CUAGUGACGUCACACGCCAGUUUUGACACGGCAGUUUCGCCACAACCGCCAACACGCACGGAGCAGGCAUCUCGUCAGUGCAGCAGAUAACUAAAGUAAGUGUAUAAAAGUUCAAAUAGAAGUGUUCUGCUUUCUCAAUAGGUGCAAUAUGUAUGUGAGUGUGUCUGUUUCGUUACUGAGUGCAGUUGGCCCGGCGGUCAAGCACACGUCGUCAUUCAAUGAGGAAAUGACACAUCCAGUUUGCACCCUUCGCGAGGAGAAGAGAGGAUGCCGACGACUGCGAGGAUGUUCAUAUAUUCCCAUUUAGGUGAAGAAUGACUCAUAAUCCUCACAAAGAAAAAAGGGGUGAAACCAAGCGUCUCUUUGUGCCUGUCAAAGUGUACCAACUUGUCGGAAUACAUCCUUGUCCUUCUCCUAUCCAGUUGGCCAAAAACGACGACUGAUUAAUACGGACAUCAUUGCAGGGAGCAGUGAAAGCCAAUCAGGCGUCAAUUUAUGCCUGCCUCGCCUGUUCCUCAGUGCUGGAGGAUUCUGUGAGGAACCCGCAUGGCUGCGGUAGGUUGUGACCCCAAGAUGCAGAAAACAGGAGCACGACGUGCAGG